rnacentral:rRNA from 1 species
GACGAACGCUGGCGGCGUGCUUAACACAUGCAAGUCGAACGAUGAAGCCUAGCUUGCUAGGUGGAUUAGUGGCGAACGGGUGAGUAAUACGUGAGUAACCUACCUUUAACUCUGGGAUAAGCCCGGGAAACUGGGUCUAAUACCGGAUACGACCAAUCUCCGCAUGGGGUGUUGGUGGAAUGCGUUAUGUAGUGGUUAUGGAUGGGCGCACGUCCGAUUAGCUUGGUGGUGGGGUAAAAGCCCACCAAGGCGACGACGGGUAGCUGGCCUGAGAGGAUGAUCAGCCACGCUGGGACUGAGACACGGCCCAGACUCCGACGGGAGGCAGCAGUGGGGAAUAUUGGACGAUGGGCGAAAGCCUGAUCCAGCAAUGCCGCGUGAGUGAGGAAGGCCGUAGGGUUGUAAAGCUCUUUUACCCGGGAUGAUAAUGACAGUACCGGGAGAAUAAGCUCCGGCUAACUCCGUG